ensembl:lncRNA
GUUGGCAGAGUGUAAAGGCGUAUUUGGAGGCCCUUUGGAGGCAGCAGUGGGAGAGGGGAGGAGAGUCCAACCAAGGUUCUCAUAUUGGGAGAAUUCAGCUGCUAUGUCAUGAGGCAAUCCCAUGGAGAAGCCAUCAUGUGAACUUGGAAGUAGAUCUUCUGGGGUCCUCCAGAAGUCAUGUGAAUGUGCUUGGUAAUAGACCCCCUCCAGCUGAGCCUCAAGGUGACUACAGCCCUUGCCAACAUCUUGAGUUUAGCCUGGUGAGAUAUCCUGACCCAGAACCAUCCAGGGAUAAAUGCCCAAGUGUGUAGUCCUGCUCAAGUGCUGGGUUCUACGGUUGACGAGAUGGCCAGAGGCAAAGCCUUGGAGUGUGGAUGGAAGGAAGCACAUCAAAAUUCCCCUGAAGAGUUGUCAAAUACCCAUCAUGAUGAGAACCUGCUGCUUAUCGCCUCCCUGACCCCUACUCUCCUGUACCCUUCCCCUGAAGGUGUGUUCAAGGCCAGGGGAGUUGUGUGCAGGUGAAAAGCCAGCUGCAACGGAGUCCCCAGAGGAGGAGGAAUAUAAGAUGCUGGAAAGAACAGACAGCUAAUGGCUCAGAGCCCAGAGCGAGGGGACGAAAACAAAUUCACAAUUUAAGGAAGAGGGAUUCAUUUUGAAAAGGAAGAUGAAAACUGCAUCUUCUGGGAAGAUUGGAAGCAAGUGGAUAAAAAUAAGGAUAGUUUUGGAAGCAGAGAGAAGAGUAUGCUAAAAAGCAAAGUGAAAGUAACUGUCAUUGUUGACCAAUUCCUUGUCAGCCAUUAUGCUUAUUGUUUUACACACAGGAAGCCUAACCAUCACAAAAACCCUAUAGGGUAGAUUUCCUGUCUGUUGCUGCUGUGAAGACCUGGCCAAAAUGGGGUUAGUAACUUUCCUGUAGUCACACGGAUAGUAAAUGAGGGAGCUGAGACUGACUCCUGCUCUUUCUGGUACCAAGGUCCAUAGUCUUUCCACUCAGUGAUAUUGGGGUAGACAUUGGGAAAGUUAAGGGAGUUUUUACUGGAUGGUUUUUUAUUGUUGGUGCAAUAGGUGUUGAAAUGAAAACCCAUGACUUGAAAGGUCAGGGCGCAGGCGAAUCAGAGUAAGGAAUUUGGAUUUCCCCUUUUAUGAAUUACAGUCAGACCUUUAUCAUUAACUGUGAAACUUCCUAUCUUAGACUUUUUCCUUUUCCUUGUUUGUAAAAGAAAGGAGUUGGAUUUUCCAGACCUUAGAGUUCUAAGUAUUUACAAAACCCCAAGGUGUGAAGAUGCUGUGCGUGUGGAGUGUGAGAUGAGUUUUAGAGCCAACGAGCAGCACUGGGAGCCCCUGAAGGCAGAGAGCAUGUUGCGUCCUCAGAGUUGGGUGACUUGCAGCUGUGAAUCAGUGAAAGGGUCCACGUGAAGAAGUUAGCUGGAGAAGAGAUGAUUGCCGGGGAAAAGGCCGAAAGGACUUUGAGGACAUGAGGCCAGCUCAAAGCUGGGGUGUUGGAAUGGUGAGCAAAUCAGGAGUAUAAAGGUGACCCAGUUUGCUAGUUAGAGCUAUGCUGAAAUGCCUGCUCGGAGAGUUUGGGUUACCGGUGAGAACAAAUGAGACACAGAGGGACUGAUGGAAGGAGAAAGAACAAAAGUGUUAAUGGGCUGGAAAUCAAAGGAGGUCAAACUGCAGAGGGAGAGAUGAUAUGCAAAGAAAUAGUGGAUGCUCUUGGAAAACCACUUUCUGAUUCUAACAUGGGAGGUUUUACCAAGUGGUCUGUACAAAUUCUUCUAGCUCUACCUAAUAUUUGAUGAGGGCAGUGAACCUUUGGUGAAUAAAUGACUUCCUUACCACCUAAAGAAAGUGUCACAAGGAGAUCUAAGCUUUAGUUUGGAAAUGCCUCUAUUUUUUGAAGAUUCUAAACAGGUCACUAAAGCAUAUCACUUUGUGAGAAAACAUCUUAUGUUAUUUCCUUUUAUUUUUUGAGAAAGUGAUAAGUAAUAAAGACUGAGUGAUGACAAAUUAGCAAGCCACUUCUCCAUUGUAGGCAACAGAUCCACGACUUUUGAAUGAAAAUGUUACAGCCUUUGCAUCAUUGCCUUGUAUGAAACAUACAAUCUUUCAAUCCUUCUAAACAUUCUUUCCCAGAUCUUUGAUUGCCACAGCCUAAUUUUGUUUGUUCACAUGACACUUAAUUAAGAUGAUAAAUACCGUAUCAGGUCGGUAGACAUUCUUUUACCUUGACACUAGAACA